GAUAUUCGGUUGUCAGCACUCCUAGGAGGCUAGAAUCAAUAAUUCCUAUAGGCGGUUUGACAAAGAUUUUACGCCAAAACUAUCUUUAAGGCAGUCCAUAUAAAACAUCAUCACUUAAUUGGUUAUACUUUUUAGAAGAAAUAUCCAUUAGGAGUCCGGAUAUAAGAGCUUCACUUAUUAAGUCCCGACAUAUUUCGAAUAAUCCUUUUUUGAGGAUAGGAUCAUCUUUACAAAUCCAUUGAGAGCAAAUUAGUCCUCUUUCUAUACUCGUUACCCCUGAUGAAGUCGAUAAGAUGAAACGCGUUGGGUUUGUCAGUCAAAGGAUCAAAAUCUAGUUUGUGAAGAUACUCCCUGUCGAGCUCGCACCUUGCAAAAGGUGAGGGGUAUCUAGGAUCCAUCUCACAAACGUGUUGGCUGUGUAUUCUUUUGGUUGUAUUUUAUUCAUAUAAUUU